rnacentral:rRNA from 1 species
UACAGAGGAUGCAAGCGUUAUCCGGAAUGAUUGGGCGUAAAGCGUCUGUAGGUGGCUUUUUAAGUCCGCCGUCAAAUCCCAGGGCUCAACUCUGGACAGGCGGUGGAAACUACCAAGAUGGAGUACGGUAGGGGCAGAGGGAAUUUCCGGUGGAGCGGUGAAAUGCGUAGAUAUCGGGAGGAACACCAGUGGCGAAGGCGGAGACCUGGGCCAAUACUGACGCUGAGGUGCGAAAGCGUGGGGAGCAAACAGG